rnacentral:RNase_P_RNA from 1 species
AGUGAUCGCGGCUGCAAGUGUCGAAAGACCGCAGGUGAGGAAAGUCCGGGCUUCAUAGGGCAGGAUGCCGGUUAACGGCCGGUGGAGGAAACUCUAAGGAAAGUGCAACAGAAAGCAAACCGCUGGGCUAGCCCAGUAAGGGUGGAAGGGCAGUGUAAGAGACUACCGCUUCUCUGGUAACAGGGAAGGCAGUGUAAACCCCAUUCGAAGCAAGACCGAAUAGAAGCGUUGACGUGGCCCGCCAGCUUCAGGUAGGUCGCUAGAGACGGUUGGCAACAGCCGUAGUAGAUAGAUGAUCACUCGCGACAUAACCCGGCUUAUCGUUCUGCU